UUCUUUGUCUUUAAGGAAACUUAGAUUUUGAAAUUGGAAAAAAUAUGACCACCUCUAUAUUAUUUUAAUUAGGAAAUUUAAAAUUUAUAUCAAAAUAUUUUUUAAAAUUUUAAUUUUAAUUUUUAUUAUAGCUGCAAAGAUUAAUUUUCAAUAUAAAUUUAUGUUUCAAUAUUACAAAUGCAUCAUUUAAUAUAAACAAAAAAAACUAAAAACAUAAAAGAAAUACCCGCCCGGUCGGGCGGGUCAAGAUCUAGUU
rnacentral:lncRNA from 1 species